UAAUACAUAAGUAACCUGCCCUAGACAGGGGGAUAACUAUUGGAAACGAUAGCUAAGACCGCAUAGGUACGGACACUGCAUGGUGACCGUAUUAAAAGUGCCUCAAAGCACUGGUAGAGGAUGGACUUAUGGCGCAUUAGCUGGUUGGCGGGUAACGGCCCACCAAGGCGACGAUGCGUAGCCGACCUGAGAGGGUGACCGGCCACACUGGGACUGAGACACGGCCCAG
rnacentral:rRNA from 1 species